ACCAAAACAAUAGCAUAAGGUACUUGCAAAUAUCAAACUAAGAGAGACAUGCUGCUCCAAGCAAGGUUGGUCCUGCAAUAUCUACAGAGGUGUAUCUGAACAAUCAAACCGAUCAAGAUUUUAGCACGUUCGACAAGAAAGAUUGGUAUGGAUCCGGAAAUCAGCUAAAUGUUCCGGCGCAUCAGACACGGUAUUUUCAACACUUGGCUGAUUCCAAUGUCGGAUCCUCCAUAGGCGGAACUGUGUUUGUUAUCAAACAAAACAUUAAGUGGGUUGUUGCCUGGAGGAAUGGGGUAAAUGAAGUGAAUAAGGUCUAUACUGAGAUUACUACUGACAGCCCUAUUAAUUGGGACAACAUCAAUGUACAACUGAAAAAGGCUACCAACAGUGCUGCAGCGAGUAAUCUCGGAUUCAAGUCGAGUCUUGAAAUUGAUCCAACCAGCGUUAAGCCAAACCUGGAUGCAAAACUCGAGGAAGCUUGAUCUCCUUCUGUCUUGGUUAAAAAUGAUGCUUUGUAUGCACUACUAAUAUCAAAAUAAGGGAAGUUGGGUAAUAAAUGACUUGUGUUCAAGUCUUCCUCCAACAACCCCUUCCCCUUUAAUAAGUCUUUCAAUGUCUAAUGUAAUUUAAGUCAUGUAUGGUGCUUUUUUAUAUGCAUAAUAGAGAGGUCUUUUUAUUAUGUCA